GGGGGUGCAAAGGUUUCGACGGGAUUCAAUGAUGUAAAGGUAAGCACGUCGAGGGUGCGGUUGGCCUCGUAAAAAAGCCGCAAACGCAUAAAUGCAAACAUUGAUGUAGCACAAAGAGUUGAAGGCGACUUCGCUCUCGCAGCUUAAUCAUACCUAGGUCUGCCACUUCGGUGCCGGACCGACCCCUUUCAGGUUCGCUUGUGACAGGUGAGGGGUUCAACUUAGCAAGAUAGUGCGUGUGUAUUGUCUUAUACACACAAGCGAAACCUUCAAAGACUCGCUCUGACUCCUUCCGUGUCUGGAAGCGACCAGAGUUAAAAGAAAACCGGCACUAAGCGUGUAGAAAGC
rnacentral:tmRNA from 1 species